CCUACGGGAGGCAGCAGUGGGGAAUAUUGGACAAUGGGGGGAACCCUGAUCCAGCCAUGCCGCGUGUGUGAAGAAGGCCCUCGGGUUGUAAAGCACUUUCAGUGAGGAAGAACGCCUGGUGGUUAAUACCCAUCAGGAAAGACAUCACUCACAGAAGAAGCACCGGCUAACUCCGUGCCAGCAGCCGCGGUAAUACGGAGGGUGCGAGCGUUAAUCGGAAUUACUGGGCGUAAAGCGCGCGUAGGUGGCUUGAUAAGCCGGUUGUGAAAGCCCCGGGCUCAACCUGGGAACGGCAUCCGGAACUGUCAAGCUAGAGUGCAGGAGAGGAAGGUAGAAUUCCCGGUGUAGCGGUGAAAUGCGUAGAGAUCGGGAGGAAUACCAGUGGCGAAGGCGGCCUUCUGGACUGACACUGACACUGAGGUGCGAAAGCGUGGGUAGCAAACAGGAUUAGUACCCCAGUAGUC
rnacentral:rRNA from 1 species